rnacentral:rRNA from 1 species
UGGGGAAUUUUGGACAAUGGGCGAAAGCCUGAUCCAGCAAUGCCGCGUGUGUGAAGAAGGCCUUCGGGUUGUAAAGCACUUUUGUCCGGAAAGAAAUGGCUCUGGUUAAUACCUGGGGUCGAUGACGGUACCGGAAGAAUAAGGACCGGCUAACUACGUGCCAGCAGCCGCGGUAAUACGUAGGGUCCAAGCGUUAAUCGGAAUUACUGGGCGUAAAGCGUGCGCAGGCGGUUGUGCAAGACCGAUGUGAAAUCCCCGAGCUUAACUUGGGAAUUGCAUUGGUGACUGCACGGCUAGAGUGUGUCAGAGGGGGGUAGAAUUCCACGUGUAGCAGUGAAAUGCGUAGAGAUGUGGAGGGAAUACCGAUGGCGAAGGCAGCCCCCUGGGCCAAUACUGACGCUCAUGCACGAAAAGCGUGGGGGAGCAAAACAGGAUUAGAUACCCUGGUAGUCCACGCCCUAAACGAUGUCAACUAGUUGUGGGGAUUCAUUUCCUUAGUAACGUAGCUAACGCGUGAAGUUGA